CCUAUAUAAACUAACAAUUUAUCACAUUCUAACGGAGACAAAAAAACCUUUUUUUUCAAACCCUUAUUUCUUCAUUCUCUCCACUCACGUAUAUACAAUUUUUUUUCUAUCUUUUUCAGGAACCAAUUCUACAAGUUACCCCAAGAGGCCAUGAAUUAACAUAACAAUAUAGAAUUUCCAUAUAGAAUUUCUAUAAUGAAUUUCCAUCACACUAACUAUAACACAAAAAAUUAACACUUGUACCAGUUUUAUUGUUUUAUUGAUUGUUGCAGAAAAGAGAACCAGUAAAGAGGAGGACUUGGCACCAAAGGACGCUAACAGAAUCAUAAAAACCGUGGCAUUCCAGAUUUCUACAGACUGAGAAUUCGAUCAAUUCAAGCCAUUCUGAGGAUCGUAGAAGCUAGCUCGACACUCUCUGAGGGAGAUUGGAUCGGUAUCAGCGUCCAGAACAUCCAGAACCGUCUCUACAAAAGCCGCGUUGCAGGUAUCACGAUCCACCAUAGUUAGGGUUCGUAUUCUUGAUUUUGGGGAAAAGUAUUUAGAAGCAAUUUCAUGCCAAAUUAAGGAGCUCAUUGGAUUCGUGAGGCUCUGUGCAUUCCGUCUGUACCAUUUUUUCGUGUUUAUUUGCAUUGAUUUGCAGGUUUUGAGGAGGAGAGCAAAUAGCCACACCUAAAAAUCGCGGCUAAAAAGUCUGUGUGUUUGUAGAAAACACGAAGGUUGAAGAGAAACAGUGCUGGCCGCGAAACGUGUUGUUUUAAUUUUUUUUUUAUUUAUUUGAUUUAUUAUUAUUAUUUGUAUAUAUUAUUUAGUGAAGGAUAAUUUGCAGCGAACGAAAAGUGGCGUAGUGGCAAAGAGUAGCGUCUUAAGGUCUUCUCACUCAAGGGCACGGGUUCGAACCCUGCCUCUUGCAUCUUAUUUUGUUAAAUUUUCAAACUCUUGUUUCUUGCAGAUCCAGUGUGUAUGGGAUGCGCACCCUUACCGUAUGACCUCAUCGUUUCACCAUAGGAUGACCAGAUCUUCAUCAGAGCUAGAUCUGAAGGCCACAAGAAUGAAGUCCACCAUACACCUUCGAGGACUCCACCACACAAGAUCCUAAGCUAAGCUUUUUUUAAUUUUAUUUAUUUAUUAUUAUAUAAACUGUUUUUAGUUAUAUAUAUAUACAUAUAUGUUUGUUUAUAUAUAAAAUAAAACUUUUUAUUUUUUUUAAAAAAAACUUUUUAUUUUUAGUUAUUUAUUUAUAAUAAAACAUUUAUCUUAUUUAUUUAAUUAUUUUAUUUAAUUGGUUUUAUCUAGUUGAAUAUUUUUUAGAAAACCAUGAAUAAUUGUUUUAAUUAAUGAAAAUUAUGAGAAUGUCAUACAUUUUAAUCUUUUUUUUUUUGCCAUCGAUUUAAUUAAUUAGGUCGCGGACCAAUAAUUAAUUAAAUCGUUUGUGUUUUCUUAUUUAAAUUCGUACCCUAAUCAGGGUUUACGAAGAACAUGCCCUACACUAAAUAUUUCUUUUACGCCUUUUCAGGGUUAUCAACAUGGUUCCUUCCGACAACGCGCCUGAUCCAGACUCAAAGCUAAGUAUCCUAUUUAUUAAAAUUAAAAGUCAAUUUUGUUUCCUUUUAAAAUCGGGGUUUGUCUUGCCUUCAUACUUUUUGCCUUUGCCUUUUUCAGGGGUACCUUCGAGACUUCCCGCCAACCAUAUCAGAUCAAAUUCGAAGCUAAGCGCCCAUUUGCUUUAUUUAUUUUAAAUUUCUUUAUUCUUUAUUUUUAGGGUUAAUUCUGUUUGCCUCCGAACUGAUAAUGCACUCACCCUUCUGUUUAUUCUUUCUUUUCCAAUUUUCAGGGUUUGUCGAUUGCCGAAGCCACGAGUAUUGGUAACCCUAAACCUUAACCCUGAUAUUUUCUGUCUUUUAUUAUUACUUAUGCCAAACCCUAUUGGGGAUCCGCUGGUUUCAUUUUCCCCUUCCCCAUAUUGCUAUUAUUACUGCUUUAUGUUAAACUGCGUGGUUAGUAAUCUUAGGGAGUGCAACUCUGAACUGAACUAGAGUCAUUAAAUUACAAGAUAAUAUAUUUCGAAUUGAACUAUGUGAUUGUUGCACACACGCACACUUUUGGGGUAACCUCUCUGUUGCCUUGCUGCUGUUGCCUUGUUGCCUGUUGCCUUGUGUUAUUUUGCAGAAUAGCCAGUCCCUCGAAUACGAGGAUACCUUAGCCAGUUGCCUCGAUUUAGAUCAUGGUCCCUAAUGAUGCUGCCUUCGAUAUGCAUGAUCUCGACCCUCGGAAGUUGCCUACGAAAAAGGCUAAGGUAUCCUCUGGCUGCCUACGAAAGGCUAUUCUGAUCUUUCCCUUAGACUACCUGCCUCCCUAUGGCAUGGGUCAGUCUUAUGGCGAAGGAUAUUUCAAUGACCCUUCAAACCUCCAAAUGAAAGGCUUCCUGCCCUCUUAUGGCAAGGAUAGACCCUUUCACCCUGAAAGGCUAAAAGAACAGAUUCUCAAAACUAUAAGGUAAAUUGCCCUUAAUUGCUUUGCCUUGCUCUAAAAACAUUUUCAAAUAUUCUUUCUCAUAAUUCUUCAAUAUGGCUACGCUCAUUUACGAGCUAAAGUCCGUAUUCACUUCUUCUACAUUUCUGAAACAAAAAGAGCAAAGCAAAUUAAGAGCCCAUGGAAAACCAUGGAUGCAAAGGGUGCUUUUUAAACCUUCCCUUUGCAUAAUUUACCCCCCGAACUCAAAAUCUUUUUAAAAGGUAUUUUACUGUUCUUUUAGCCUUUCCGUUAUUUGGAUAAAAUAAAAGUCGGUGGCGACUCUUGCUUACCGUACAUUUU